UACGAAGGGGGCUAGCGUUGCUCGGAAUCACUGGGCGUAAAGCGCACGUAGGCGGACUCUUAAGUCGGUGGUGAAAUCCUGGAGCUCAACUCCAGAACUGCCUCCGAUACUGGGAGCCUUCGAGUCCGGGAGAGGUGAGUGGAACUGCGAGGGUAGAGGUGAAAUUCGUAGAUAUUCGCAAGAACACCAGUGGCGAAGGCGGCUCACUGGCCCGGUACUGACGCUGAGGUGCGAAAGCGUGGGGAGCAAACAGG
rnacentral:rRNA from 1 species